rnacentral:rRNA from 1 species
GAUGAACGCUGGCGGCGUGCCUAAUACAUGCAAGUCGAGCGAACAGACGAGGAGCUUGCUCCUCUGACGUUAGCGGCGGACGGGUGAGUAACACGUGGAUAACCUACCUAUAAGACUGGGAUAACUUCGGGAAACCGGAGCUAAUACCGGAUAAUAUAUUGAACCGCAUGGUUCAAUAGUGAAAGACGGUUUUGCUGUCACUUAUAGAUGGAUCCGCGCCGCAUUAGCUAGUUGGUAAGGUAACGGCUUACCAAGGCAGCGAUGCGUAGCCGACCUGAGAGGGUGAUCGGCCACACUGGAACUGAGACACGGUCCAGACUCCUACGGGAGGCAGCAGUAGGGAAUCUUCCGCAAUGGGCGAAAGCCUGACGGGGCAACGCCGCGUGAGUGAUGAAGGUCUUCGGAUCGUAAAACUCUGUUAUUAGGGAAGAACAAAUGUGUAAGUAACUAUGCACGUCUUGACGGUACCUAAUCAGAAAGCCACGGCUAACUACGUG